UAUCCUGUCUGAAUAUGGGGGGACCAUCCUCCAAGGCUAAAUACUCCUGACUGACCGAUAGUGAACCAGUACCGUGAGGGAAAGGCGAAAAGAACCCCGGCGAGGGGAGUGAAAAAGAACCUGAAACCGUGUACGUACAAGCAGUGGGAGCCUCUUUAUGGGGUGACUGCGUACCUUUUGUAUAAUGGGUCAGCGACUUAUAUUCUGUAGCAAGGUUAACCGAAUAGGGGAGCCGAAGGGAAACCGAGUCUUAACUGGGCGUUAAGUUGCAGGGUAUAGACCCGAAACCCGGUGAUCUAGCCAUGGGCAGGUUGAAGGUUGGGUAACACUAACUGGAGGACCGAACCGACUAAUGUUGAAAAAUUAGCGGAUGACUUGUGGCUGGGGGUGAAAGGCCAAUCAAACCGGGAGAUAGCUGGUUCUCCCCGAAAGCUAUUUAGGUAGCGCCUCGUGAAUUCAUCUCCGGGGGUAGAGCACUGUUUCGGCAAGGGGGUCAUCCCGACUUACCAACCCGAUGCAAACUGCGAAUACCGGAGAAUGUUAUCACGGGAGACACACGGCGGGUGCUAACGUCCGUCGUGAAGAGGGAAACAACCCAGACCGCCAGCUAAGGUCCCAAAGUCAUGGUUAAGUGGGAAACGAUGUGGGAAGGCCCAGACAGCCAGGAUGUUGGCUUAGAAGCAGCCAUCAUUUAAAGAAAGCGUAAUAGCUCACUGGUCGAGUCGGCCUGCGCGGAAGAUGUAACGGGGCUAAACCAUGCACCGAAGCUGCGGCAGCGACACUAUGUGUUGUUGGGUAGGGGAGCGUUCUGUAAGCCUGUGAAGGUGUACUGUGAGGUAUGCUGGAGGUAUCAGAAGUGCGAAUGCUGACAUAAGUAACGAUAAAGCGGGUGAAAAGCCCGCUCGCCGGAAGACCAAGGGUUCCUGUCCAACGUUAAUCGGGGCAGGGUGAGUCGACCCCUAAGGCGAGGCCGAAAGGCGUAGUCGAUGGGAAACAGGUUAAUAUUCCUGUACUUGGUGUUACUGCGAAGGGGGGACGGAGAAGGCUAUGUUGGCCGGGCGACGGUUGUCCCGGUUUAAGCGUGUAGGCUGGUUUUCCAGGCAAAUCCGGAAAAUCAAGGCUGAGGCGUGAUGACGAGGCACUACGGUGCUGAAGCAACAAAUGCCCUGCUUCCAGGAAAAGCCUCUAAGCAUCAGGUAACAUCAAAUCGUACCCCAAACCGACACAGGUGGUCAGGUAGAGAAUACCAAGGCGCUUGAGAGAACUCGGGUGAAGGAACUAGGCAAAAUGGUGCCGUAACUUCGGGAGAAGGCACGCUGAUAUGUAGGUGAAGCGACUUGCUCGUGGAGCUGAAAUCAGUCGAAGAUACCAGCUGGCUGCAACUGUUUAUUAAAAACACAGCACUGUGCAAACACGAAAGUGGACGUAUACGGUGUGACGCCUGCCCGGUGCCGGAAGGUUAAUUGAUGGGGUUAGCGGUAACGCGAAGCUCUUGAUCGAAGCCCCGGUAAACGGCGGCCGUAACUAUAACGGUCCUAAGGUAGCGAAAUUCCUUGUCGGGUAAGUUCCGACCUGCACGAAUGGCGUAAUGAUGGCCAGGCUGUCUCCACCCGAGACUCAGUGAAAUUGAACUCGCUGUGAAGAUGCAGUGUACCCGCGGCAAGACGGAAAGACCCCGUGAACCUUUACUAUAGCUUGACACUGAACAUUGAGCCUUGAUGUGUAGGAUAGGUGGGAGGCUUUGAAGUGUGGACGCCAGUCUGCAUGGAGCCGGCCUUGAAAUACCACCCUUUAAUGUUUGAUGUUCUAACGUUGGCCCCUGAUCGGGGUUGCGGACAGUGUCUGGUGGGUAGUUUGACUGGGGCGGUCUCCUCCUAAAGAGUAACGGAGGAGCACGAAGGUUGGCUAAUCCUGGUCGGACAUCAGGAGGUUAGUGCAAUGGCAUAAGCCAGCUUGACUGCGAGCGUGACGGCGCGAGCAGGUGCGAAAGCAGGUCAUAGUGAUCCGGUGGUUCUGAAUGGAAGGGCCAUCGCUCAACGGAUAAAAGGUACUCCGGGGAUAACAGGCUGAUACCGCCCAAGAGUUCAUAUCGACGGCGGUGUUUGGCACCUCGAUGUCGGCUCAUCACAUCCUGGGGCUGAAGUAGGUCCCAAGGGUAUGGCUGUUCGCCAUUUAAAGUGGUACGCGAGCUGGGUUUAGAACGUCGUGAGACAGUUCGGUCCCUAUCUGCCGUGGGCGCUGGAGAACUGAGGGGGGCUGCUCCUAGUACGAGAGGACCGG
rnacentral:rRNA from 1 species